rnacentral:sRNA from 1 species
GCGGAGGAAAAGAAACCAACAGGGAUUGCCUCAGUAACGGCGAGUGAAGCGGCAACAGCUCAAAUUUGAAAUCUGGUCCCCUCUGGGGGCCCGAGUUGUAAUUUGAAGAGGAUGCUUUUGGCGAGGCGCCUUCCGAGUGCCCUGGAACGGGACGCCACAGAGGGUGAGAGCCCCGUAUGGUAGGACGCCGAGCCUCUGUAAAGCUCCUUCGACGAGUCGAGUAGUUUGGGAAUGCUGCUCAAAAUGGGAGGUAAACCCCUUCUAAAGCUAAAUAUUGGCCAGAGACCGAUAGCGCACAAGUAGAGUGAUCGAAAGAUGAAAAGCACUUUGAAAAGAGAGUUAAACAGCACGUGAAAUUGUUGAAAGGGAAGCGCUUGCGACCAGACUUGCGCCCGUCGGAUCAACCGUCCCUCGUGGGCGGCGCACUCCGGCGGGCUCAGGCCAGCAUCAGUUUUCCUGGGGGUAGAAAGGCGGUGGGAAUGUAGCUCUUCGGAGUGUUAUAGCCCGCCGCGUAAUGCCCUCGGGGGGACUGAGGACCGCGCGUAUGCAAGGAUGCUGGCGUAAUGGUCGUCAGCGACCCGUCUUGAAACACGGACCAAGGAGUCGUCCUAAUAUGCGAGUGUACGGGUGUAAAACCCCUGCGCGUAAUGAAAGUGAACGGAGGUGAGAGCUUCGGCGCAUCAUCGACCGAUCCUGAUGUUCUCGGAUGGAUUUGAGUAAGAGCAUAUUGGGCCGGACCCGAAAGAAGGUGAACUAUGCCUGUAUAGGGUGAAGCCAGAGGAAACUCUGGUGGAGGCUCGCAGCGGUUCUGACGUGCAAAUCGAUCGUCAAAUAUGGGCAUGGGGGCGAAAGACUAAUCGAACCUUCUAGUAGCUGGUUUCCGCCGAAUUUCCCCUCG